UACGGGGGGGGCUAGCGUUGUUCGGAAUUACUGGGCGUAAAGGGCGCGUAGGUGGCCAACUAAGUCAGACGUGAAAUCCCUCAGCUUAACUGGGGAACUGCGUCUGAUACUGGAUGGCUUGAGUUUGGGAGAGGGAUGCGGAAUUCCAGGUGUAGCGGUGAAAUGCGUAGAUAUCUGGAGGAACACCGGUGGCGAAGGCGGCAUCCUGGACCAACACUGACACUGAGGAGCGAAAGCCAGGGGAGCAAACGGG
rnacentral:rRNA from 1 species